rfam:TPA: Bos taurus chromosome 18, whole genome shotgun sequence.
UCCCUAGUGGUUCAAUGGUAAAGAACCUGCCUGCAAUGCAGGAGACAUGGGUUCAGUCCCUGUGUGGGGAA